AUUGAACGCUGGCGGCAGGCCUAACACAUGCAAGUCGAGCGAGCGGCGGACGGGUGAGUAAUGUCUGGGAAACUGCCUGAUGGAGGGGGAUAACUACUGGAAACGGUAGCUAAUACCGCGUACCAUCUGAGGUGCCCAGAUGGGAUUAGCUAGUAGGUGGGGUAACGGCUCACCACGGCGACGAGCCCUAGCUGGUCUGAGAGGGUGACCAGCCACACUGGAACUGAGACACGGUCCAGACUCCUACGUGAGGCAGCAGUGGGGAAUAUUGCACAAUGGGCGCAAGCCUGAUGCAGCCAUGCCGCGUGUGUGAAGAAGGCCUUCGGGUUGUAAAGCACUGUCAGCGGGGAGGCGUUACCCGCAGAAGAAGCACCGGCUAACACCGUGCCAGCAGCCGCGGUAAUUC
rnacentral:rRNA from 1 species